rnacentral:rRNA from 1 species
AUUGAACGCUGGCGGCAUGCUUUACACAUGCAAGUCGAACGGUAACAGGCCGCAAGGUGCUGACGAGUGGCGAACGGGUGAGUAAUGCAUCGGAACGUGCCCAGUCGUGGGGGAUAACGCAGCGAAAGCUGUGCUAAUACCGCAUACGAUCUAUGGAUGAAAGCGGGGGACCGUAAGGCCUCGCGCGAUUGGAGCGGCCGAUGUCAGAUUAGGUAGUUGGUGGGGUAAAGGCUCACCAAGCCAACGAUCUGUAGCUGGUCUGAGAGGACGACCAGCCACACUGGGACUGAGACACGGCCCAGACUCCUACGGGAGGCAGCAGUGGGGAAUUUUGGACAAUGGGCGCAAGCCUGACCCAGCAAUGCCGCGUGCAGGAAGAAGGCCUUCGGGUUGUAAACUGCUCUUGUACGGAACGAAAAGGUUUGGGUUAAUACCCUGGGCCGAUGACGGUACCGAAAGAAUAAGCACCGGCUAACUACGUGCCAGCCGCCGCCGUAA